CCUACGGGAGGCUGCAGUCGAGAAUCAUUCACAAUGGGGGAAACCCUGAUGGUGCGACGCCGCGUGGGGGAAUGAAGGUCUUCGGAUUGUAAACCCCUGUCAUGUGGGAGCAAAUUAAAAAGAUAGUACCACAAGAGGAAGAGACGGCUAACUCUGUGCGCGAAGCGUCGGUAAUACAGAGGUGUCAAGCGUUGUCCGGAAUCACUGGGCGUAAAGGGUGCGUAGGCUGUUUCGUAAGUCGGGGGUGAAAGGCGCGGGCUCAACCGGCGGACGGCACAUGAUGCUGCGAGACUUGAGUAAUGGAGGGGGGACCGGAAUUCUCGGUGUAGCAGUGAAAUGCGUAGAUAUCGAGAGGAACACUCGUGGCGAAGGCGGGUUCCUGGACAUUAACUGACGCUGAGGCACGAAGGCCAGGGGAGCGAAAGGGAUUAGAUACCCCAGUAGUC
rnacentral:rRNA from 1 species